AAAAAAACAAACCCUGAGUUUCCGUGUCCAACGUUUGACUGUCCGUCUUAUUUAAAAAAAUUAUGAAAAAAAAAAUUAAAAAAUACAAGUCAUGCAUAAAGUAUUAAUCAUAUUUUAUCAUCUAACAACCAUGAAAAUACUAAUUAUAAAAAAAAUUCAUAUAAAACGGACAGUCAAAAGUUAGAUAAAAAACCCAGGGUUUAUCUUUUU
rfam:Oryza nivara chromosome 7, whole genome shotgun sequence.